ensembl:lncRNA
CUUCAUGGAGGAGGUGGCUGUUCAACUAAACACAGAAGGAGGGACAAGGUUUCCACCGACAUAGAUGAAGAAGAGGAGCAGGCUUUCUGGGGGGAAGGAACUGUGUGGUCCACAACACAUGAAGGAAAAUAACCAGCAGCUGGCAGGCAGGACCGAGAGGAGAGAAUGUUUGAUGAGCUCUAGCAGAUCAGAGCUGAGAAGGCGAUGGCACCCCACUCCAGUACUCUUGCCUGGAAAAUCCCAUGGACUGAGGAGCCUGGUAGGCUGCAGUUCAUGGGGUCGCCAAGAGUCAGACACGACUUCACUUUCGCUUUCACUUUUCACUUUCAUGCAUUGGAGAAGGAAAUGGCCCCACUUCAGUGUUCUUGACUGGAGAAUCCCAGGGACGGGGGAACUUGGUGGGCUGCUGUCUAUAGGGUCGCACAGAGUCGGACACGACUGAAGCGACUUCGCAGCAGCAGCAGGUCAGAGAGGCAUGUGGCUCUACAGCCUAGGUGAUGGGAGUUUUGAAGGUUUCCUAGCAAGUGUUAAGAUCUGAGCUAUGAUUGCAGAAAACCGAAUCCCCAUCGCCCAGCCUGGAGCUGGAAGAACCGAGAGGCAGGAGUUGUCAGGACGCCGGUCCAAGGCCGGGGCAGGGGAAGGGGCGUUGCUAGCCACUAACUAGGCACAGGGUCUGCGACUGGGCUGGGACCCGGAGGAUCAAGAGAACGCAUGUACCGGGGCGGGGGGUGUUAAAAAGGAAGGCAACCAAGAGGACGCGUCUUCCCUGGGCAGCAGAGAGGAAGCAAUUUAUUAAUAAACGAAGAGCACUGUAGGAGCCACAGGCAUCACCGUCGGAGUCCCGCUCCUCGGCCGGCCGGCUGCAGCGCUGAGGCGGCCCGACUUCCUGAGUCCUUACCACAGCUAUAGGCACCUUCGCUCAUCUAAUGAAAAUAUGUGUUUAAUGUUUUAGCCCCCAGACGUCAGAGCUACAGAAUCUGUUUUCAUUUCUUCCCCGUGCCUAGCACAGUUUGCCGAGGAGCUGAACAGGGGAUAGGAACCCACAAAAGGUUUGGAGAAAGGGCUCACUCGGUGAGCUGACAGCCCAGAGUGCGACUGGAGGGCAUUCCAAGUCCAAGGAGGCUGAUCUCGCGUGAGGAGAGGUCCUGCAGAGACGCUGCGGUCACCUCCCCGCCGGUGUGCAGGGACCACAGACAGGUGGCGGGGUGGGUGAGGCUGCACUCCCCAGUCUACAGAUGGCAUUCACACCUACCACCGGGAACUCGGGGGGAAGAAAACCAGGGUGCACAGAACCUUGCGCUUGCAGCGCAGCGGCGGCCCCAUUUCCCGCCUGGGAAUACCGAGGCCGGGGGGCAAAGGAGGUCUGCAGGUCCUCAGGGCCGAGGCUCGGAGUCGGACGCCACAGCACCACUCCCAGGAGUGGAGUGGCCGGGCGGGACUUUGAGGGUCCCCAGGAGCGCUUCCUACAGCGCGCACCAGUUAGCGCCCAACUCGCCAACUCCGGGACUUUU